rnacentral:rRNA from 1 species
ACGAACGCUGGCGGCUGCUUAACACAUGCAAGUCGAACGGAGUGGCGAACGGGUGAGUAACGCGUGAGCAACCUGCCUAUGACAGUGGGAUAGCCUCGGGAAACCGGGAUUAAUACCGCAUAGUCAUAGAUGGUCUCGCGUCUGAUUAGCUAGUUGGUGAGAUAACAGCCCACCCAGGCGACGAUCAGUAGCCGGUCUGGGAGACUGAGCGGCCACUUGGGAACUGAGACACGGUCCAAACUCCUACGGGAGGCAGCAGUGGGGAAUAUUGCCCAAUGGGGGAUACCCUGAUGCAGCGACGCCGCGUGAACAAAGAAGGUAUUCGUAUCGUAAAGUUCUGUCCUAUGGGAAGCAGUACCAUAGAAAAAAGCUCCGGCUAAAUACGUGCCAGCAGCCGCGGUAAUAC